rnacentral:rRNA from 1 species
UACGGAGGGUGCAAACGUUGUCCGGAAUCACUGGGCGUAAAGAGCAUGUAGGUGGCUUUGUAAGUCAAUGAUUAAAGAUCGACGCUUAACGUCGGGACUGUUAUUGAUACUGCAUCGCUCGAGGAUAGCAGGGGUGGGCGGAACUUUAAGUGUAGGAGUGAAAUCCGUAGAUAUUUAAAGGAACACCAAUGGCGAAGGCAGCUCACUAGGCUAUUUCUGACACUGAGAUGCGAAAGCGUGGGGAGCGAACGGG